GACGAACGCUGGCGGCGUGCCUAACACAUGCAAGUCGAGCGAAUGAAGUUCCUUCGGGAAUGGAUUUAGCGGCGGACGGGUGAGUAACACGUGGGCAACCUGCCUCAUAGAGGGGAAUAGCCUUCCGAAAGGGAGAUUAAUACCGCAUAAGAUUGUAGUAUCGCAUGAUACAGCAAUUAAAGGAGCAAUCCGCUAUGAGAUGGGCCCGCGGCGCAUUAGCUAGUUGGUGAGGUAACGGCUCACCAAGGCGACGAUGCGUAGCCGACCUGGGAGGGUGAUCGGCCACAUUGGGACUGAGACACGGCCCCGACUCCUACGGGAGGCAGCAGUGGGGAAUAUUGCACAAUGGGGGAAACCCUGAUACAGCAACGCCGCGUGAGUGAUGACGGCCUUCGGGUUGUAAAGCUCUGUCUUCAGGGACGAUAAUGACGGUACCUGAGGAGGAAGCCACGGCUAACUACGUG
rnacentral:rRNA from 1 species